GGGGAUGUAGCUCAGUGAUAGAGUGCAUGCUUCGUAUGUAUGAGGUCCAGGGUUCAAUCCCCUGAAUCUCCA